GCAGAUCUUUGUUUGGAAUUCUCCAAUUUAUUUGGAAAGCUCUCAUACACAUACUGCUGAUGAGUAUCUCACUUCACUGCAUUCUCCAACAGGUUUCUUUCUCUCUCUCCCUUCUUCCAUAGCAGUAAUAACCAUGACGUCCCAUGAGAUCAAGCAAGUGUUUGCACAAGAAAACAGAGGCAGCUAGUUUAAAAUGCAUCCUUGAGUUAGCUCUUUCUCUUUUCCUGCUUCACUCUCCUGAUGCCUCGUCUAAAAGUUGGUAAAUACUUCUAAUAUCACUUCUGACUAUUCCUGGAGAAAAUGUAGGGGUGUCUAUGGUGAGUUCAGGGAUUUCAGGACUGAUUAAGGAAAAGACAGAACUACAAGAUGUCAGUACUGAACAGUAAGUUUUAUUGGCCAGUAUUGGGACACAGUCGCAUGAGAGAAGAAGCUCCUUUUCCUUCCAGGAUGAGUAGAAGACCUGACAGAAAUAGCAGCAUGGGAUUAACACCCAGAAGGCAAAAGAGGGCAAGAGAACUUCCAGGGGAGCAAGGAAUCAGAGAUGGGGCUUAUGUGUCUAGCAGUCGCUGGGCUAGAGACCUAUGAAAAGCAGCCGUGAUUUGAGGUCAUUUAUAGCUAUAACGGUUAUCUUAUCUAUGGAUGGCAGGUAUUAGGUAUAGUUUUGUGGUGUAGGUAAAGAAGACAGACUCUAAAUGGCUUAAAACAUGCUUAUUUGGAAUAUAUUUAAAGCAACUGGGUAUGUAAGGAUUGAGUUUGGCACCAUGGGGUUUAAGCUAAUAGUCCUCGCCUGCUGUGAAGAAGUAACAACCUAGGAGCUAUAUACAGAGCCCACCUUUAGUCCAUUUGUAUAUCAAUGUCCUGUGAAACUUAGAAAAGAGAGAGAGAGAUCCAUUCCUGACUCUACAAAGGAAGACAGGGUUUCUCUACAAGCUAGAAGAGAUAAGCCCUUGUGACCACGUGGAGAUAGUGAGGGACUUCUGAUGGCUACAGUGGAGGAAAUUCAGGCUCUUUGGAUUCUCCCAUGCCUGUAUGAAAUUUACUGCUCCUACGGUCAGCUUUAACUAGGAAGCCCUGUUUAUAUCCCAGUUUGGGCGAGCACUUCAGAACAAGAACCACUCCUUUCUUGCACACCACGAAUCCCAGAUCAAUACCAGAGGACAAGUGUAAACUGUGCAUUGCAAAAGCAUCUCAGAUGCAGCUUUCUUCCUUCUCACAAGUACCUCCUCAAAUCAAAGUUGUCUUAAUCCAACUAAUCAUGGCUCCACUUAAAAUACACCAUUUUAUUGAAAUCAUGGAUAUCACACACACAUAACAUACACACACACAUGCACACACGCACAGGUUUCCUGCUCUCAUCCACCACCCUCAUUUUAAAUCCAGAACACAUGGAAAAGCCACAGUCUACACAACAGGACUGGGCAGGUUUUCUUCUGGUGAGUCCUGUGGAUUUCAGGUUUACAUCUAGCAAGCUUCACAUGCUAGGGGAAGUCAUUCGGACAAUAGCCUGUCACAUUUACACCACUAGAGCUCAUCAACUUGAACAUGAGUUUCUGAGCCAGGGAAUUUAUCUGCUCCAGCAUCUUCCUUCCCUAUACACUUUCCGCCCAUUCAUCCCUGAAUCCUAGCACUCCCUGCUGUACCCAGCCUGGAAGAGAACAUUUUUGUACACUAUAGCUCUAGGUUCUGUCCUAGUGAUUAGAGAGGGGAAGCCAGAACAUUUGUUGUGGGACAUACUGUGCUUUUGAUUUAGUGGAAAUGUAUUGGUAUGUUCACAACAGAACCUUCCUUCUUUUGAAAAAUUAGCCACAGGAAUCCUUUGUUUCAUGAGCCAAUAAAUUCCCAUUUGUUUAAAUUAGUUUGGGUUGUGUUUCUGUUACUCGCAACUAAGAAUCCUGACUAAUUUCCUCAGCAACAGAGAGGCCUAUUGUUUGUGGAAUGGGUGAUACCUACACUAUGGCAGAACAUAUGGAAGCCUUCCACCCAUUCUAACUAUAUUCUCAACUAAUGGCAACAUAGCUUUUCAUUGCAAAGAGAACCUAAGAAAACCUUAGUCUGGCCUUAUUAGAGGGAGUUAGAAACUUGGUCAACAGUCUCUUGAGAUGCUCACUUUUAGUUCCAUGAGGGAGGCUAAACUACAAGGAAAAGGAACAUCCCAGCAGACACUGAGCAAUAAGGAAAUUAGCCCCAUUAUGCCCAUAUAUAACUGUUUUUUGGUUUAUUCAUUAUCAACUCUCACUCAAAAACACUCAAAAAUGGUUUGAAUCUGUGUCCCCACACAAAUCUCAUGUUCAAUUGCAAUCCUCAAGAUGGGGCCUGG
rnacentral:lncRNA from 1 species